rnacentral:rRNA from 1 species
UACGGGGGGGGUAAGCGUUGUUCGGAAUUACUGGGCGUAAAGGGCUCGUAGGCGGCCAACUAAGUCAGACGUGAAAUCCCUCGGCUUAACCGGGGAACUGCGUCUGAUACUGGAUGGCUUGAAUCCGGGAGAGGGAUGCGGAAUUCCAGGUGUAGCGGUGAAAUGCGUAGAUAUCUGGAGGAACACCGGUGGCGAAGGCGGCAUCCUGGACCGGCAUUGACGCUGAGGAGCGAAAGCCAGGGGAGCAAACGGG